ACCCUUGCCUCUCUCACACUUGGGCUUCCCAGUCAGACAGCUCUGGGGAUGACAGACAUUGGCGUGGGAUCAUCAAGAAGACUGCUUGGGAAACCCAACAGGAAAAAGGGUAAAAUUGAUCCUGCAAGAAGAUACACUAUGUUGACGGGUGGCUUUGGAUAUUUUCUGUCUGGAUUUCAGCAGGCAUCUUUGUACACAGAGAUCAAGUCUGAGAAGCAUGGAUUGAUGGGGAAAUUGAGGUCAGGAGAGAUCUCAGAUCUGGGACAAGGCUGGAGAGUGGAGUGCCUUGAACACUAAGCUAAGGGAUCUCAGCUCUGCAGUGCAGUGCAGGCCAGUGAUGUUUCACCAUUUCCUCAUUUGAAUGCUUAUUCAUUAACCCACUUCCUACAUGCCACGUGACCAGAUGUCCCAAGAGGAGUUCCUUUGGGAUGAAGUUAAUUCUCAUCCAUUGUGAAAUAGCACUGUUGAGAUGGUGACAAGACACAUCUGGAGCAAUCACCUAGACGAAUGCCAAGUUUUAGCUUCUCAUCCUGCUGUUAACUUGUCCUGCUAGCCUGGACUGAAGCCUGAGCUCUGUUGUGGUUAAACAAGAAGCAUUCAUCCUCAGAACCAGUGUUCUGGCCCCUUCUCCUCCCACCACGAACUCGAAGUAAUAAAUGACCAGAGGAUAUUGGAGUAGGAGGAGCCACAACCUGUGUGACCCAGAUAUUCAUUCAUUGCUUUUCCCCUGCUAAUUAUUGAGCACUUCCCAUGCCUUGGGUUUUGGGGAUAAACAAUAAAGAGGUAAGCAGGCAGACUUCUGCCUUCAUGGGGCUCACAUUCUAGUGGUGUGAGGAGGGAAACAUAAACAAUACACAAAUAAACAAAAAAACAAACAAGAAUUUCAGAUGGAGAGAAGUGCUUCUAGCAAACUUGAACAGGGUAUCACGAAAAUGGCUGGAGGGGCUCCUUUUUUGAAGACCUCUCUGAGGAGAGACCUGAAGGUUGAGAAGAGAGCAAGCACAGAGCACUUCAGGCAGCGGGCAGAGUAGGAGGAAAGACCCAGAGACCCUGGUCGAGGAACAGAAAGGCCUGUGUGUCCACAGGGUGGGAGCGUGGUGGGGGGUGGAGGAGGG